CUUAUCAAGAGCGACUGAGGGACAGGCCCUGUGAAGUCCGGCAACCUGCAUUUUUGUAAGGUGCCAAAUCCUGCGGUAUUACCGAGAGAUGAG
rnacentral:ncRNA from 1 species